rnacentral:lncRNA from 1 species
AACCUCAUGCUGAUCCUGGGUCUUUGUGUUCAACUUCUUUCCAGUUUAAUUUUCACAUCUGGCCAUCUCAGUGCUAAAAGGUCAGGAAUCCAGGCAAGAGUUGAUGAGGACCUAAACUAAAGGGGUGGUGACUAUGUCAAGGGAGAGAAAGGAACAUAUUCCAAUGAAGUUGUGAAGGCAGAAUGAUAAGAUUUGGCAACAGCCUGGAUAUGUGUGGUGAGUAAAAGUGAGGAGCCAAGGAUUAGCAAUUACCCAAUUUUAUAGAUAAAUAGAUCGAGGUCCUAAACAACAGAUAAUUAAUCUGUCUCAACCAAUCAAUCUAUAAACAUUUAAGCAUCAACUAUGUGCCAGGUGGUGUGUUAAGCAAUGAAGAUACAAAAAGAGACAAAAGAAUAUCCCUACCCUCAAGAAGUUUACAUAGGUUGUAUGUUGUAGAUCUGCAGUUUGAACUCUCUCCUAAUUCUGUAAUCAAUUAUUUCUAACAUGUC